rnacentral:ncRNA from 2 species
AUGAACCCCGUGGAAGAGAGCGCCGAAGAUGCGCCCCCGAAGGAGCAACCGCCCCGGAAACUCUCAGGGAACCGGACCGCGGGGGGAUG